CAGGCUUAACACAUGCAAGUCGAGGGGCUGCAUGGUCUUAGCUUGCUAAGACUGAUGGCGACCGGCGCACGGGUGAGUAACACGUAUCCAACCUGCUGUCUACUCUUGGACAGCCUUCUGAAAGGAAGAUUAAUACAAGAUGGCAUCAUGAGUCCGCAUGUUCACAUGAUUAAAGGUAUUCCGGUAGACGAUGGGGGUGCGUUCCAUUAGAUAGUAGGCGGGGUAACGGCCCACCUAGUCUUCGAUGGAUAGGGGUUCUGAGAGGAAGGUCCCCCACAUUGGAACUGAGACACGGUCCAAACUCCUACGGGAGGCAGCAGUGAGGAAUAUUGGUCAAUGGGCGAGAGCCUGAACCAGCCAAGUAGCGUGAAGGAUGACUGCCCUAUGGGUUGUAAACUUCUUUUAUAAAGGAAUAAAGUCGGGUAUGCAUACCCGUUUGCAUGUACUUUAUGAAUAAGGAUCGGCUAACUCCGUGCCAGCAGCCGCGGUAAUACGGAGGAUCCGAGCGUUAUCCGGAUUUAUUGGGUUUAAAGGGAGCGUAGAUGGAUGUUUAAGUCAGUUGUGAAAGUUUGCGGCUCAACCGUAAAAUUGCAGUUGAUACUGGAUAUCCUGAGUGCAGUUGAGGCAGGCGGAAUUCGUGGUGUAGCGGUGAAAUGCUUAGAUAUCACGAAGAACUCCGAUUGCGAAGGCAGCCUGCUAAGCUGCAACUGACAUUGAGGCUCGAAAGUGUGGGUAUCAAACAGGAUUAGAUACCCUGGUAGUCCACACGGUAAACGAUGAAUACUCGCUGUUUGCGAUAUACUGCAAGCGGCCAAGCGAAAGCGUUAAGUAUUCCACCUGGGGAGUACGCCGGCAACGGUGAAACUCAAAGGAAUUGACGGGGGCCCGCACAAGCGGAGGAACAUGUGGUUUAAUUCGAUGAUACGCGAGGAACCUUACCCGGGCUUAAAUUGCAGAUGAAUUACGGUGAAAGCCGUAAGCCGCAAGGCAUCUGUGAAGGUGCUGCAUGGUUGUCGUCAGCUCGUGCCGUGAGGUGUCGGCUUAAGUGCCAUAACGAGCGCAACCCUUGUUGUCAGUUACUAACAGGUUCCGCUGAGGACUCUGACAAGACUGCCAUCGUAAGAUGUGAGGAAGGUGGGGAUGACGUCAAAUCAGCACGGCCCUUACGUCCGGGGCUACACACGUGUUACAAUGGGGGGUACAGAGGGCCGCUACCACGCGAGUGGAUGCCAAUCCCCAAAACCUCUCUCAGUUCGGACUGGAGUCUGCAACCCGACUCCACGAAGCUGGAUUCGCUAGUAAUCGCGCAUCAGCCACGGCGCGGUGAAUACGUUCCCGGGCCUUGUACACACCGCCCGUCAAGCCAUGGGAGCCGGGGGUACCUGAAGUGCGUAACCGCGAGGAGCGCCCUAGGGUAAAACUGGUGACUGGGG
rnacentral:rRNA from 1 species